rnacentral:rRNA from 1 species
GGCGGGUCUUUAUGGCCMACCUCCMCCCGUGACUUUGUACCUUGUUGCUUCGGCGGGCCCGCCAGCGUUGCUGGCCGCCGGGGGGCGACUCGCCCCCGGGCCCGUGCCCGCCGGAGACCCCAACAUGAACCCUGUUCUGAAAGCUUGCAGUCUGAGUGUGAUUCUUUGCAAUCAGUUAAAACUUUCAACAAUGGAUCUCUUGGUUCCGGCAUCGAUGAAGAACGCAGCGAAAUGCGAUAACUAAUGUGAAUUGCAGAAUUCAGUGAAUCAUCGAGUCUUUGAACGCACAUUGCGCCCCCUGGUAUUCCGGGGGGCAUGCCUGUCCGAGCGUCUUUGCUGCCCUCAAGCCCGGCUUGUGUGUUGGGCCCUCGUCCCYCGGCUCCUGGGGUACGGACCCGAAAGG